AUUGUGUUUCCAGGUGAGCAGUGUUCUGAGUGUGUAUUGUGUUUCCAGGUGAGCAGUGUUCUGAGUGUGUAUUGGGUUUCAGGUGAGCAGUGUUCUGAGUGUGUAUUGGGUUUCAGGUGAGCAGUGUUCUGAGUGUGUAUUGGGUUUCAGGUGAUUAGUAUUCUGAGUGUGUAUUGGGUUUCAGGUGAGCAGUGUUCUGAGUGUGUAUUGGGUUUCAGGUGAGCAGUGUUCUGAGUGUGUAUUGGGUUUCAGGUGAUUAGUAUUCUGAGUGUGUAUUGGGUUUCAGGUGAGCAGUGUUCUGAGUGUGUAUUGGGUUUCAGGUGAGCAGUGUUCUGAGUGUGUAUUGGGUUUCAGGUGAUUAGUAUUCUGAGUGUGUAUUGGGUUUCAGGUGAGCAGUGUUCUGAGUGUGUAUUGGGUUUCAGGUGAUUAGUAUUCUGAGUGUGUAUUGGGUUUCAGGUGAGCAGUGUUCUGAGUGUGUAUUGGGUUUCAGGUGAGCAGUAUUCUGAGUGUGUAUUGGGUUUCAGGUGAUUAGUAUUCUGAGUGUGUAUUGGGUUUCCAGGUGAGCAGUAUUCUGAGUGUGUAUUGGGUUUCAGGUGAUUAGUAUUCUGAGUGUGUAUUGGGUUUCCAGGUGAGCAGUAUUCUGAGUGUGUAUUGGGUUUCAGGUGAGCAGUAUUCUGAGUGUGUAUUGGGUUUCAGGUGAGCAGUGUUCUGAGUGUGUAUUGGGUUUCAGGUGAUUAGUAUUCUGAGUGUGUAUUGGGUUUCCAGGUGAGCAGUAUUCUGAGUGUGUAUUGGGUUUCAGGUGAGCAGUAUUCUGAGUGUGUAUUGGGUUUCAGGUGAGCAGUAUUCUGAGUGUGUAUUGGGUUUCAGGUGAGCAGUAUUCUGAGUGUGUAUUGGGUUUCAGGUGAGCAGUAUUCUGAGUGUGUAUUGGGUUUCAGGUGAGCAGUAUUCUGAGUGUGUAUUGGGUUUCAGGUGAGCAGUAUUCUGAGUGUGUAUUGGGUUUCAGGUGAGCAGUAUUCUGAGUGUGUAUUGGGUUUCAGGUGAGCAGUGUUCUGAGUGUGUAUUGGGUUUCAGGUGAUUAGUAUUCUGAGUGUGUAUUGGGUUUCCAGGUGAGCAGUAUUCUGAGUGUGUAUUGGGUUUCAGGUGAUUAGUAUUCUGAGUGUGUAUUGGGUUUCAGGUGAUUAGUAUUCUGAGUGUGUAUUGGGUUUCAGGUGAGCAGUGUUCUGAGUGUGUAUUGGGUUUCAGGUGAUUAGUAUUCUGAGUGUGUAUUGGGUUUCAGGUGAGCAGUGUUCUGAGUGUGUAUUGGGUUUCAGGUGAGCAGUAUUCUGAGUGUGUAUUGGGUUUCAGGUGAGCAGUAUUCUGAGUGUGUAUUG